rnacentral:lncRNA from 1 species
CUUUCGCUUCUGCGGCGCUCGUCGGAACCUUUGUCUCUCUGUUCCUCUUCUGAUGGCGUUCUACCCUGGGAACGUGGGUGUGCUACUCCAUGUGGUUUGCAUGAUCAGAGACUGCAGGAUGGAUCUCGGAGAAGACGACUCCUGCUGGGCCUCUAAGGCAACCAUGUAUAGACAUCCACAAUCUUCAGUCUCCUGAUCUCUGGGGUAAGCGUUUGUAUUUUGGCCCGUUGUAGGAAAUGCGUGUUUUAAAGAACUUUAGUUUGAUAGAUGACCUUGGAGAGAAAAAGGGAAGUUAAGGACAGCAAAUAAGCACAAAGGUGGAGGUUACCUACGUGGGGUCCAGAAGGAUGUGGUUUUGUCCUAUUGGCCUUACCCAGUUACCUAUGUCAUCAGUCCUCGCCAUGGUUUUUUUGCCCUUUUCUUCCUGCAAGAUUAAGUCACCAUUCCUCACAUCCCUUUGCUAUCAGUUGAGGAGUGGGUUAAAGAUUCAUGUCCAGCUAGGCGUAGGUAUACUCCCUAUAGUAGACAAGGCCUUUGGGGAUGUUAAUCUCUGGAGCCCUUUAGCCAAAUAUUAAUCAGUAGCCACGUCAAAGAAUGCGUUGAAGCCCAUGUUCUGCACUGACUGAGUUACUAUUUUGCUUCACUAGGGCAUACGGAAUUCUUUGGGUCAGGGAUCAGAUCUGAGCUGAAGCUGCAACCUACCCCACACAACACUGGAUUCUUUAACCCACUGCCAGGCUGGGGGGUCUAACGUAUGUCCUGGUGCUGUAGAGAGGCCCCAGAUGUACUGUGCCACGGAAUUUCCAAGUGGUUAAUGUGAUGACUUGUCUUUUUUUUUUUUUUUUUUUUUUUUGUCUUUUUGCCAUUUCUUGGGCCGCUCCCAUGGCAUGUGGAGGUUCCCAGGCUAGGGGUCGAAUCAAAGCUGUAGCUGCCAGCCUGCCCCAGAGUCACGGCAACGCCGGAUUGUUAACCCACUGAACAAGGGCAGGGAUCGAACCCGCAACCUCAUGGUUCCUAGUCGGAUUCGAAAACCACUGCCCCACGACGGGAAGUCCUGUGACGGCUUUUUUUUUUUUUUUUUUUUUUUUUUGUCUUUUUGCCAUUUUCUGGGGCCGAACCCAUGGCAUAUGGAGGUUCCCAGGCUAGGGGUCCAAUCGGAGCUGUAGCCGCCUGCCCACACCAGAGCCACAGCCACGCGGGAUCUGAGCCAUGUCUGCGACCUGCACCACAGCUCACGGCAACGCCGGAUCCUUAACCCACUGAGUGAGGCCAGGGCUCGAACCCACAACCUCAUGGUUCCUAGUCGGAUUCGUUAACCACUGAGCCAUGACGGGAACUCCUGUGAUGGCAUUUUUUUUUAAAGGAAAGCCAAAUAAAUGUACUUUGUUGGCCUAGUUACUUUUAUUACCCAGAAUCUUUUACCCACGCUUGUGGCAUGUGGAAGUUCCUGGGCCAUGGAUUGAACCUAGUUUUCGGUUUUGGUUUCUUUUUUUUUGGUUUGGUUUGGUUUGGUUUUGCUUUUUCGGGCUGCACCCAUGGCAUAUGGAGGUUCCCAUGCUAGGGGUCUAAUCAGAGCUACAGCUGCCGGCCACAGCCACAGCAACACAGGAUCCUUAACCCACCCACUACGUGAGGCCAGAGACCGAACCUGCAACCUCAUGGUUCCUAGUUGGAUUCUUUUCCGCUGUGCCACAAAGGGAACUCCGAACACAUUUUCUAUUGAGUCCUGAAAUGCCACCUUAAGGGUGGGAUUUCUUGGACCCUGUUUUCCUUGAACUCUGAUCCCGAGUUCCUUGCAUUGAAUCAUCCUGACGCAAAACCCUGCAAUGACAUCUCACCUCAGCACAAGCCAGCCAUUUGCCCACAGCUUUGCCAAGCGCACUGACCUCUCAGAUGUAAACUCAAAAGGUAGGAGUGUUUGUCUUAGCUAUUACUGCCAGCAGCAGCACACUAGAAGUGCUUUGAAUACUACAUGAAAUUGCAGGUAGAGAAUCAGACCAAGUCUAAUUCCUGGUUCAGGGUUCUUCAGAGGCCAAGAGCUUCUUACUGGCAUAUAUGAUGACUGAACUUUUUUCCCCAACAGAUCGACCAUGUUGAUCAAACUCUCUAAGCCAGUUUCUGUCUGAUAUGCCAGUUUGAGCAGCUCUUGUCCUCCACUCCCUUGGGUAUCUAGCUGAUGGAGCUCAUGUUUCAUUGUUUUCAUCUUAGGUUUACUAGUGGCAGAAAGCAGACUUUGAAUGGACUAUCAUUUGGAAAGAAUGGGUAAGUCAUGUCCAUUAACUGUUCCUUUUUAAAAGGGGUUAUCCCCCUCGCGUUCUAAUUACUGUGACCCAAAUAUAUGGCCAUUGCAGCUGAUGACUUUUCUCCCAGUCAGAUCGACCCUGUUGAUCUCACUGAAUUAGCCAGUUUUGUUGAUGGCAUUGGUCACAAAGACAACCUCAGUUUUCUGCUUACCAUCAACAGAUUUUGCUAUGUGGGAAUUGGGCUUGCUUCAAGGGUUUUUCCCCCCCUUAACCAAUCAAGUUAUUGGCUUCAUUUGUUGACUUUCUGCAGGACUAGAGCACCCUGUGUUCCUCAAGGCAAUGAGGAAGUGGAUUCCAGCCUGAUUUUGCCGUCAGCUUGGUUCAGUCUAUCCUGUAACAGGGCAUUUAUCAGCUAUGGACUUGGAAUACAAGGCCUCAAAUGACUGAUCCUGUGCUCUCCAGAGAAAGCAUGACUUGGUUGAUCAGUCUCACAAGAUGAUUCUGCAACCCAGGUAUCCAGAGUUGGAAAAGCCUCUGCCUGCUCUGAAGAAUCAGUUACUGAUUUUUAGCCUCCCUAUGUGGAAAAUAAAGCCCUUUAAAUCAAAA